AAUAAGAUGCCUGAUAAAAGGGUUAUUUUGAUAGAAUAAAUCAUGUAGGAAACUACUCUUAUUA
rnacentral:tRNA from 2 species